UGUCAAGAGACUCAGGUUUGUCAGAGC
rnacentral:piRNA from 1 species